UACGGGGGGGGCAAGCGUUGUUCGGAAUUACUGGGCGUAAAGGGCUCGUAGGUGGCCAACUAAGUCGGACGUGAAAUCCCUCGGCUUAACCGGGGAACUGCGUCCGAUACUGGUUGGCUUGAGUUUGGGAGAGGGAUGCGGAAUUCCAGGUGUAGCGGUGAAAUGCGUAGAUAUCUGGAGGAACACCGGUGGCGAAGGCGGCAUCCUGGACCGAGAUUGACACUGAGGAGCGAAAGCCAGGGGAGCAAACGGG
rnacentral:rRNA from 1 species